rnacentral:snoRNA from 1 species
CCCCUCUCAGAGUCUCACCUGGAGAGUUUCCAGUACUCUACCAGUCUUGACUAUGGGAAGGAGAGUCAAGCAGAGGCCACCCAUUCCAUUCCUAGCUUGGUCAGUGGCUAGAAAGUGGAAGACAAUCUGCUACAAGU